rnacentral:rRNA from 1 species
CCUACGGGAGGCUGCAGUGAGGAAUAUUGGUCAAUGGGCGCGAGCCUGAACCAGCCAAGUCGCGUGAGGGAAGACGGUCCUAUGGAUUGUAAACCUCUUUUGUCGGGGAGCAAAAGACGCCACGCGUGGCGUUCCGAGAGUACCCGAAGAAAAAGCAGCGGCUAACUCCGUGCCAGCAGCCGCGGUAAUACGGAGGAUGCGAGCGUUAUCCGGAUUUAUUGGGUUAAAGGGGUGCGCAGGCGGAAGAUGAAGCCAGCGGUAAAAUGGAGAGGCGCAACCGCUUCGAGCCGUUGAAACUGGUUGUCUUGAGUGAGUGAGAAGUAUGCGGAAUGCGUGGUGUAGCGGUGAAAUGCAGAGAUAUCACGCAGAACUCCGAUUGCGAAGGCAGCAUACCGGCGCUCAACUGACGCUCAUGCACGAAAGUGUGGGUAUCGAACAGGAUUAGAUACCCGGGUAGUC